AUGGUUGUCGUCAGCUCGUGUCGUGAGAUGUUGGGUUAAGUCCGCAACGAGCGCAACCCCUAUUGUUAGUUGCCAUCAUUCAGUUGGGCACUCUAGCGAGACUGCCGGUAAUAAACCGGAGGAAGUGGGGAUGACGUCAAAUCAUCAUGCCCCUUAUGACCUGGGCUACACACGUGCUACAAUGGUUGGUACAACGAGUUGCGAGUCGGUGACGGCGAGCUAAUCUCUUAAAGCCAAUCUCAGUUCGGAUUGUAGGCUGCAACUCGCCUACAUGAAGUCGGAAUCGCUAGUAAUCGCGGAUCAGCACGCCGCGGUGAAUACGUUCCCGGGCCUU
rnacentral:rRNA from 1 species